AUGUCGGACUCUGCUCCCCAGGAAGAGGCCGCACAGCUGUUGAAAUCUCUCAUUGCGACACGCAGUGGGAAAUUAGGAGUGUGUACACGAAAGAGGAACGAAAUCAAAGUUCUGUUUGAAACCGGAGAUGUUGAUAAAAUUGACAAACUUGCAAAGACGUUGUUGAGCUGCAUCGAUGAUUUUGAAUCUGUGCAUCAGUCAGUACAAAAUCUGCUUGGUGAGGAGGAGAAAGCAACGGAGAACGCUGAUUGGUAUGAACCGAGAAUAACGAACUUUAAUAACUUUUUUGAUGAGGUGGAAGCAUGGAAAAUUCAACAAUAUAAUCUUGAAACUAUUGUGGAUCCUAUGGAUAGUGUAUCUAACGUCACUGGAGCUACAUCUCGGCGUUCUAAGACCUCCACCUCCUCAGCUAAAAUAGCGGCAGCGGAGAAGGCUGCGCUUGAGGCGCGCGCCAAUGCUUUACCUGCAUUACAUGCGCUUAUGCUUGAAGAAACGGUUCUAAAAUCCAAAAAGGAACAGAUGGAAGUUCAAGUUAUGAUAGCAGCAGCUGAUGCAAGAAUUAAAGUGCUGAGUGACAGCGGUGAUGCAAUGAACGAAUAUUUAGAAGCAACUAGGCAUGAUUUUACUGAACCAACUCUCCCUGAUGCGUCGGCUAUUGAGUUCGCUCCUUUGGCUGCAGUACCCAAAACACCAUUGCAAAUGGCUGUUAGACACAUUCAUGGCGGGCCUAGCUUACAAGCUGCUGUACCUCCAGCCUCCUCCUCCAGCCCUCAAGUUCAGUCCAGUCAUGAUGUAGAUUUUCAGAUGCUACAAACACAGAAACAGCUCAUUGAUGUAAUGAUUAUGCAGCAAAAUAUCUCUCUGUUACCAAAAAGGGAGGUGCCAGUCUUUGAUGGCGAUCCGCUAUCUUUUCAGUCUUUCAUCCAUGCUUUUAAAUAUUUGAUAGAAGACAAGACGGAUAGCUGCCAGGAUAGACUUUAUUUUCUAGAACAGUUUACUGCAGGCCAAGCUAAAGACCUUGUGCGUAGCUGUAUGCAUAUGGAUUCUCGUAGAGGAUAUACAGAAGCAAGACAGCUCCUUAAGAAACAUUUUGGAGAUGAAAUUAAAAUUGCUAAUGCUUACCUGCAAAAGGCUCUGAACUGGAAGUCAAUUAAAACUGAUGAUGGAAAUGCUCUUCAUGCUUUUGCCUUGUAUUUAAGAGAAUGCUACAAUGCUAUGCAAGACCUAGAGUACAUGGAUGAGUUGAAUGUGGCCUCUAACUUGAAACUGCUGGUGUCUAAGUUCCCCUACAAGCUCCGUGAGCGAUGGAGAACUGUAGCCUAUGAAUCCAUAAAGAAAAACAUCCGCAUUCGAUUCAUACACCUGGUAGAGUUCUUAGAGACCCAGUUUAGCAUGUUGCUACAUCCUAUAUUUGGAGACAUUAAUGACCCUGCUCCAGCCAAGGUUGUAACACCAAGUGCAAGGAUGCCAAACACAAGAACCUUUGAAAGGACUUUUGUUACCACGGUAACACCAGCUGAAGAGCAGGUAGCACUACAGCCAGUUCAGACACAGAAAGCUAACCAUCAUGUUGUGGGUUUGUCUUCAUGUAGCUUCUGUGCAGACAAACAUGAAAUAACAGACUGUAAAAGGUUCAAUUCAAAACCACAUGAUCAGAAAGUUGACUACCUAAAGAAAAAUGGAUACUGCUUUGGAUGUCUAAAGAAAGGACACCUCAGUAAAAAUUGCAAUAAGAAAAUGCUCUGUCAAAUCUGUAAACGUAACCAUCCCACCUUGUUACACAUCAACAGUGACAAUGCAGGGAGAAUGCAGAUUAUGACCGGAUUAAACCACUCAGGCAGGCCUCCCCUCAACAGUGCCCUGGUCUCAGCUGAGAAGGCAACAGGGGCCAGCAAGGAGUGUGCGCUAGCCAUUGUGCCCGUUCAAGUGAAGGCAUCCAAGGGGUCAAAAACCAUCCAGACCUACGCCUUCCUGGAUCCAGGCAGUUCGGCCACCUUCUGUACGGAGAACAUCAUGCGCCAGCUGAACACCAAAUGUCGCCAGACUGAAGUGGUCUUGCGGACGAUGGGGCAGGAGCGUCUGGUAAAGAGCUAUGAGCUAACAGGACUGGAGGUAGGCAACAUGGAUGGUAGUGUUUACAUAGAGUUGCCUCAAGUUUACACUCAGCCAAAAAUUCCUGUGUCUAAAGAAAACCUACUUAGUCAACAUGACUUGAAAAGAUGGCCUUACCUAAAUGCAGUUACAUUGCAAAGGAUUGAUGCCAACAUUGAGAUUUUGAUUGGAAUGAAUGUGCCAAAAGCAAUGGAACCUUGGCGUGUGAUUAAUAGUCAAGGUAAUGGACCAUAUGCAGUCAAAACACUCUUAGGAUGGGUGGUCAGCGGCCCACUCAACACAUCUGCUAUGGAAAAGGAUGGCACACCUUCAGUCACAGUCAAUCGUGUCUCAAUGCAAGAACUGAAGGAUCUUCUCAUUCAUCAAUAUAACAAUGACUUUCCAGAAAAGGAUUAUGAGGAGAAAUUGGAGAUGUCUGUUGAGGACAAGAAAUUCAUGGACGUAACAACAAGGUCAGUCAUUCACAAAAACGGUCAUUAUCACCUACCUUUGCCAUUCCGUGAUGAUGUGUGCUUACCUGACAACAAAGAGGUCUCAGUACAACGUGCAAUGAGUCUCUCCAAACGAGACGACGCAGCCCGAGACGAGGCUGCGGGAGACAAGGCCGCGGGGGACGAGGCCGCGCAGAGACGGCGCCGCCAGAGCCAGAGACGGCGCCGCCAGAGCCAGAGACGGCGCCGCCGCAAGAGACGGCGACGCCGCCGCAAGAGACGGCGACGCCGCCGCAAGAGACGGCGACGUCGCCGCAAGAGACGGCGACGCCGCAAGAGACGGCGACGCCGCAAGAGACGGCGACGCAGGCUAUCAAAGGAUCCAUCAAGCUCUGCUGACCCACCAUGUCAAAUGGCUGUUCAACCCCCCUUCUGCACCACACUUUGGAGGCGUGUGGGAGCGACUGAUCAAGUUGGUGAAAAAGAGAUGACUUGUACGGAAGAAGGCGGUGGAGACAGGUGCAGUACCUAG
rnacentral:lncRNA from 1 species